rnacentral:rRNA from 1 species
CCGCUAGCGGCGCCAGGCGUAGUGGGGCUUGCUGCUGAAGCCUAUAGAGAGGGCCUCCCCGGAGGUAUCCUUUGUGAGUGAAAGCAGUUUUGCCCUACUGCACAGGCACUUCUCCUUAGAUGUCUGAUCGUUGCGAUGCGUUUACUGGGCUAUUGUGGAGCUUGCUCUGCUUUGGUUUGGGAUGCGUGUUGUGGUCGGGAGGACAAAGGGGCCGGCCCUGGUGAAAAAGUUGGUCACCUACCUGACCCGUCUUGAAACCACGGACCAAGGAGUCUAACAUGUGCGCGAGUUAAAAGGUGGUAAACCUUAAGAGCGCAAUGAAAGUAAAGGUCGGUUUAACCGGCUUAUAUGGGACCCUUCACUGCGGUGUUGGGGCACCANAGUCCCGUCGCGUCUGCUUGUCAGNGCGGCGGCGACAGAGCGUACACGUUGGGACCCGAAAGAUGGUGAACUAUGCCUGAGCAGGAUGAAGCCAGGGGAAACUCUGGUGGAGGUCCGAAGCGGUUCUGACGU